AGUAUUUAUCUGUAUCUAUUCAUUUUUAUUUAAAAACGUCUAUUAAUAUAGAAUUUAUAAUUGAAAUGAAAUAUUACGAAUCGAUAGAAGUCGGAAAUUAUACGAAAUCUUCGGACGAUUACUAAGUAGAAGAUAGUGAAGCGACAAAUUUGCAACAAACACACGAGUUCUUACAAAAUAUUUGGGACAUCGUUGGAAGUUAGAAAUAACUAUGCGAAAGAAGAAAAAACUGUUUACACUACUCGUUGUUUCGCUAUCUGAAAGCAAUUAUGGCAAUCAGUUCAACUUACCAGUUAUUAUUUUAGAUGUGUUCACACAUGUUUACACAUAUUCUGUUACACAUGUCACAAAAGUUUCUCUUGCAAGAAAUGUUGCAUAUUACUUGCUAGUGCAUCUGCGACAUAUCCGUUGCCGUAUCAAAGAUAGAAAAAAGGGAAAAAAUCUAAAAAAAUGUUUAUCAUUAUGAAAAAAAUUGCCAGUGUCCACCAAUGACUUCACU